rnacentral:misc_RNA from 1 species
UGUGGAGGGGGCUUGCCCCCGAUGGCGGUGUGUCAGGUUAAACAUCUUUGCCUGAUCCACCGCUAUCGGGGGCAAGCCCCCUCCCAC